rnacentral:rRNA from 1 species
AUAUCAAUAAGCGGAGGAAAAGAAACCAACAGGGAUUGCCCUAGUAACGGCGAGUGAAGCGGCAACAGCUCAAAUUUGAAAUCUGGCCCUCGGGUCCGAGUUGUAAUUUGUAGAGGAUGCUUUUGGUGCGGUGCCUUCCGAGUUCCCUGGAACGGGACGCCAUAGAGGGUGAGAGCCCCGUCUGGUUGGACACCAAGCCUCUGUAAAGCUCCUUCGACGAGUCGAGUAGUUUGGGAAUGCUGCUCUAAAUGGGAGGUAUAUGUCUUCUAAAGCUAAAUACCGGCCAGAGACCGAUAGCGCACAAGUAGAGUGAUCGAAAGAUGAAAAGCACUUUGAAAAGAGGGUUAAAUAGUAC